UGCAGUCGAGCGGAACGAUCCCAGCUUGCUGGGAGGCGUCGAGCGGCGGACGGGUGAGUAAUGCAUAGGAAUCUGCCCGAUAGUGGGGGAUAACCUGAGGAAACUCAGGCUAAUACCGCAUACGUCCUACGGGAGAAAGCAGGGGCUCUUCGGACCUUGCGCUAUCGGAUGAGCUUAUGUCGGAUUAGCUGGUUGGUGAGGUAACGGCUCACCAAGGCGACGAUCCGUAGCUGGUCUGAGAGGAUGAUCAGCCACAUCGGGACUGAGACACGGCCCGAACUCCUACGGGAGGCAGCAGUGGGGAAUAUUGGACAAUGGGGGCAACCCUGAUCCAGCCAUGCCGCGUGUGUGAAGAAGGCCCUCGGGUUGUAAAGCACUUUCAGUGAGGAAGAAUGCUUGUCGGUUAAUACCCGGCAAGGGAGACAUCACUCACAGAAGAAGCACCGGCUAACUCCGUGCCAGCAGCCGCGGUAAUACGGAGGGUGCGAGCGUUAAUCGGAAUUACUGGGCGUAAAGCGCGCGUAGGCGGCUUGAUAAGCCGGUUGUGAAAGCCCCGGGCUCAACCUGGGAACGGCAUCCGGAACUGUCAGGCUAGAGUGCAGGAGAGGAAGGUAGAAUUCCCGGUGUAGCGGUGAAAUGCGUAGAGAUCGGGAGGAAUACCAGUGGCGAAGGCGGCCUUCUGGACUGACACUGACGCUGAGGUGCGAAAGCGUGGGUAGCAAACAGGAUUAGAUACCCUGGUAGUCCACGCCGUAAACGAUGUCGACUAGCCGUUGGGGGUCCUCGAGACCUUUGUGGCGCAGUUAACGCACUAAGUCGACCGCCUGGGGAGUACGGCCGCAAGGUUAAAACUCAAAUGAAUUGACGGGGGCCCGCACAAGCGGUGGAGCAUGGUGGUUUAAUUCGAUGCAACGCGAAGAACCUUACCUACCCUUGACAUCGUGCGAACUUGGUAGAGAUACCUUGGUGCCUUCGGGAACGCACAGACAGUGCUGCAUG
rnacentral:rRNA from 1 species